rnacentral:rRNA from 1 species
AGGACGAACGCUGGCGGCGUGCUUAACACAUGCAAGUCGAGCGGUAAGGCCUUUCGGGGUACACGAGCGGCGAACGGGUGAGUAACACGUGGGUGAUCUACCCUGCACUUCGGGAUAAGCCUGGGAAACUGGGUCUAAUACCGGAUAUGACCUCCUAUCGCAUGGUGGGUGGUGGAAAGAUUUAUCGGGUGCAGGAU